UACGUAGGGGGCUAGCGUUGUCCGGAAUCAUUGGGCGUAAAGCGCGUGUAGGCGGCCCGCUAAGUCCGCUGUGAAAGUCGGGGGCUCAACCCUCGAAAGCCGGUGGAUACUGUCAGGCUAGAGUACGGAAGAGGCGAGUGGAAUUCCUGGUGUAGCGGUGAAAUGCGCAGAUAUCAGGAGGAACACCCAUUGCGAAGGCAGCUCGCUGGGACGUUACUGACGCUGAGACGCGAAAGCGUGGGGAGCAAACAGG
rnacentral:rRNA from 1 species